AUUGAACGCUGGCGGCAGGCCUAACACAUGCUAGUCGAACGAGUGGCGGACGGGUGAGUAAUGUAUGGGAAACUGCCCGAUGGAGGGGGAUAACUACUGGAAACGGUAGCUAAUACCGCAUACCAUCGGAUGUGCCCAGAUGGGAUUAGCUAGUAGUGGGGGUAACGGCUCACCUAGGCGACGAUCCCUAGCUGGUCUGAGAGGAUGACCAGCCACACUGGAUCUGAGCCACGGUCCAGACUCCUACGGGAGGCAGCAGUGGGGUAUAUUGCACAAUGGGCGCAAGCCUGAUGCAGCCAUGCCGCGUGUAUGAAGUAGGCCUUCGGGUUGUAAAGUACUUUCAGCGAGGAGGCGUUACUCGCAGAAGAAGCACCGGCUAACUCCGUGCCAGCAGCCGCGGUAAUAC
rnacentral:rRNA from 1 species